rnacentral:rRNA from 1 species
GACGAACGCUGGCGGCGUGCUUAACACAUGCAAGUCGAACGAAGUGGCGAACGUGUGAGUAAUACGUGGUUAACCUGCCCUCCUUUUUGGGAUAAGCCUUGGAAACGGGUUCUAAUACCGAAUAUAGGGGGAUGGGCUCGCGGCCUAUCUGCUUGUUGGUGGGGUGCUGGCCUACCAAGGGGGUGACGGGUAGCCGGCCUGAGAGGGGGACCGGCGACAUGAGGACUGAGAUACGGACGAGACGACGACGGGAGGGAGGAGGGGGGGAAAUAGCACGGAGGGCGAAAGACGGAGGCAGCGACGCCGCGUGGGAGAUGAAGGCGUGGGGGUUGUAAACCUGUUUCGAUACCGAACGGGUAGGUGGAGAAGAAGCGCCGGCUAACUACGUGCCAGCAGCCGCGGUAAUUC